UUCCAUACAAAUAUGCCAUGUGGUGAUACCAUGAGGCACAUGCUUGCUUUAUUGGUUGUAGAUGGAUUAGAAAUUCCUCGGCAAUCCAUCCAGCCAUUGUUUGUCGGAUAGGUCUCUAAAUUUUUUCUGAUCGGAUAGCUAAAAUUCUUAGAUUGGGAAGCAUUUGUAACCCUCCACAUCGGUUAGUUGCUUUUCUUCAUCACAUGAUAGGUUCUAACUCGUUUUUAUUUGCCUCCUGUUAAAAAGAGAGGGAAAAAAAAAAAAAGAAAAGGAUCAAAACAAAAUAAUUUCGCAUAUUGAUAAUAAAUUUUUAAUUAUAUUUUAAGCAUGUUAUGACCAUAUUACACCACAUCAUAAUUUUUAAGUAUAGUAAAAAAUUUCUAUAUGUUUAUAAAUUAUAAAUAUUUUUUUUAAAUGGUACUUCG
rnacentral:lncRNA from 1 species